rnacentral:rRNA from 1 species
UCAAGUAAUUAAGUGCAUGUGGUGGAUGCCUUGGCAGUCAGAGGCGAUGAAAGACGUAAUAGCCUGCGAAAAGCUCCGGGGAGGCGGCAAAUAUCCUAUGAUCCGGAGAUUUCUGAAUGGGGGAACCCACCCGCUAUAAGGCGGGUAUCAUAAACUGAAUACAUAGGUUUAUGAAGCGAACGAGGGGAAGUGAAACAUCUCAGUACCCUUAGGAAAAGAAAUCAAUUGAGAUUCCCUUAGUAGCGGCGAGCGAACGGGGAGCAGCCCAUUAAGUUGUGUGUGUUCUAGUGGAACGCUCUGGGAAGUGCGAACGUAGAGGGUGAUAUUCCCGUACACGAAAGGGCACACACAAUGAUGACGAGUAGGGCGAGGCACGUGAAACCUUGUCUGAAUAUGGGGGGACCAUCCUCCAAGGCUAAAUACUCCUGACUGACCGAUAGUGAACCAGUACCGUGAGGGAAAGGCGAAAAGAACCCCUGUGAGGGGAGUGAAAUAGAUCCUGAAACCGCAUGCAUACAAGCAGUGGGAGCCGACUUGUUCGGUGACUGCGUACCUUUUGUAUAAUGGGUCAGCGACUUAUAUUCAGUAGCAAGGUUAACCGAAUAGGGGAGCCGUAGAGAAAUCGAGUCUUAAUAGGGCGUUUAGUUGCUGGGUAUAGACCCGAAACCAGGCGAUCUAUCCAUGAGCAGGUUGAAGGUUGGGUAACACUAACUGGAGGACCGAACCCACUGUCGUUGAAAAGCCAGGGGAUGACUUGUGGAUAGGGGUGAAAGGCUAAUCAAGCCUGGUGAUAGCUGGUUCUCCCCGAAAGCUAUUUAGGUAGCGCCUCGGACGAAUACCAUUGGGGGUAGAGCACUGUUUCGGCUAGGGGGUCAUCCCGACUUACCAAACCGAUGCAAACUCCGAAUACCGUAAAGUAAUAUCCGGGAGACAGACGGUGGGUGCUAAUGUCCAUCGUCAAGAGGGAAACAACCCAGACCGCCAGCUAAGGCCCCAAAUUUCUAGUUAAGUGGGAAACGAUGUGGGAAGGCAUAGACAGCUAGGAGGUUGGCUUAGAAGCAGCCACCCUUUAAAGAAAGCGUAAUAGCUCACUAGUCGAGUCGGCCUGCGCGGAAGAUGUAACGGGGCUAAAACUAGAAGCCGAAGCUGCGGAUGCAUAUUUUAUAUGCGUGGUAGGGGAGCGUUCUGUAAGUCUGCGAAGGUGUGUUGAGAAGCAUGCUGGAGAUAUCAGAAGUGCGAAUGCUGACGUGAGUAACGACAAGGGGUGUGAAAAACAUCCCCGCCGGAAGACCAAGGGUUCCUGCUCAACGUUAAUCGGAGCAGGGUGAGUCGACCCCUAAGGCGAGGCUGAGAAGCGUAGUCGAUGGGAAACAGGUUAAUAUUCCUGUACCUUUUACUGAUGCGAUGGAGGGACGGAGAAGGCUAUAUCUACCAGCGAUUGGUUGUGCUGGGGAAAGGUUGUAGGCAUGUGUCUUAGGCAAAUCCGGGACACUCUAUGCUGAGAACUGAGACGAACCUGUACUUGUACGGGGAAGUGAUAGAUGCCAUGCUUCCAAGAAAAGCUCCUAAGCUUCAGUCAGUAAGGGAUCGUACCCGAAACCGACACAGGUGGUCAGGUCGAGAAGACCAAGGCGCUUGAGAGAACUCUGGUGAAGGAACUAGGCAAAAUAGUACCGUAACUUCGGGAGAAGGUACGCUGUUGAGGGUUAAGGAUUUACUCCGUAAGCCUUCGGCAGCCUCAGAAACUAGGCCGCUGCAACUGUUUAUUAAAAACAUAGCACUCUGCAAACACGAAAGUGGACGUAUAGGGUGUGAUGCCUGCCCGGUGCUGGAAGGUUAAUUGAUGGGGUUAGCGUAAGCGAAGCUCUUGAUCGAAGCCCCAGUAAACGGCGGCCGUAACUAUAACGGUCCUAAGGUAGCGAAAUUCCUUGUCGGGUAAGUUCCGACCUGCACGAAUGGCAUAAUGAUGGCGGCGCUGUCUCCAGCAGAGGCUCAGUGAAAUCGAAUUCGCCGUGAAGAUGCGGUGUACCCGCGGCUAGACGGAAAGACCCCGUGAACCUUUACUGCAGCUUGACAUUGAACUUUGAUCUUACUUGUGUAGGAUAGGUGGGAGGCUUUGAAACUCGGACGCUAGUUCGAGUGGAGCCAAUCUUGAAAUACCACCCUGGUAAUAUUGAGGUUCUAACUCUGCUCCAUUAUCUGGGGCGAGGACCAUGUCUGGUGGGUAGUUUGACUGGGGCGGUCUCCUCCUAAAGAGUAACGGAGGAGUACGA